GCCACCCUAGCUCAGUUGGUUAGAGCAGCUGUUUCGUAAAUAGCAGGCCGAGGGUUCGACUCCCUUGGGUGGCU
rnacentral:tRNA from 1 species